UAUAAAAUGAUAUUUUAUCGAUCUUUCUUAUUCUUACUGCAUCCAAAAUCAAUUGCGGCUGAAAUGAAGGAAGUUGACAAAAAAGAGAAGUGAAGCAAGAUAUCUUUUUAAAAUUAAAUUUGAGUAUUUUUUAUCACAAAUAUCAAUGCAUACCAAUGUUAAACCAACAAGGGAAUAUACCAAACAAAAAAAUGGACCACAAAACUUAAACAAGAAAUUGACCCAUCCUAAAGCCCAGCCCAAUGUUAAACCGGAUGGAGCUAUAAAUAUAUCUAUAUGUAGGGUUUCAUAAUUCACUCCCCCUUUCGUCAUUUUCCUUCUCGCUGCUUCCCUCACCCCUUGCACCUUGAAAUAUUUCUUUCUUGAUCUAUUUAGUUUCAGUUCCUCCUCCUUUGGGUGAUUGAUGCUCGUCAUAUCCUUUCUUAAGCUCUUGGUUCAGCUACAAGAAUUGUGUUCUUUAGUGGAUAGGGCGUGCGGUUCUUUUUUGGUGUUAUGCUGAGGGCGCCCGUGGUUUAGAUCUGUUUUAGUAUACUAAAAAAAUGUGCAUCACUUACCCAUAGUACUAGAUUGUUACGAAGGUUGGGUUGAAAGGAAAGCAUAGACUAGCAAUUUUAUUUUCAUAUUCUCACAAAAGAGGUACAAAGCCCAGGAGGUUCCAUAUAUGGGAUGAACUAUGUAGACACUGAAAUACUCAUAACAAAUUUAAGUAGAGAAGAAAAUAGAAAUUAAAUCCAGAGAAUCCGAGAGGGGAGUCUCUUUACACACUAUGGUGGUUAAAGCUUAAGGACCACUAAUAAGAGAAUUUUCCAUGCUCUACAUGUUUGUGGUAUUGUGCAUGAUGACUUUUCUAGUAGUUUGGCACAAGGAUGUGGUGGAAAACAACUCUUGGCUUAUGUUAGAUACUUUGUUUAGACUUACUAUUCGAUACUCUCACAAUUUCAAUUUGCUCAUCUUAGUUUGAGAGGGAACACAACUUAAAAAGGAAAAUACUUUUAAAUCUUGUGAUCUUAAACUAAAUAUUUUAUCGGAAUCAGAUUCAUCCUCUUUUGCUU